UACGGAGGGGGCUAGCGUUGUUCGGAAUUACUGGGCGUAAAGCGCACGUAGGCGGCUUUGUAAGUUAGAGGUGAAAGCCCGGGGCUCAACUCCGGAAUUGCCUUUAAGACUGCAUCGCUAGAAUUGUGGAGAGGUAAGUGGAAUUCCGAGUGUAGAGGUGAAAUUCGUAGAUAUUCGGAAGAACACCGAUGGCGAAGGCAGCCAUCUGGACCGACACUGACGCUGAGGCGCGAAAGCGUGGGGAGCAAACAGG
rnacentral:rRNA from 1 species